rnacentral:tRNA from 1 species
GCUGGGGCUCAGUGGUAGAGUACUUGCCUAGCAUGUGUGAGACACUGGGUUUGAUUCUCAGCACCGCA